rnacentral:rRNA from 1 species
AUCAACGCUGGCGGCGCGCUUAACACAUGCAAGCCGAACGAGAAAGCCGGGGCAACCUGGUGAGUAAAGUGGCGUACGGGUGAGUAACACGUGGAUCAUCUACCCUGGAGUGGGGAAUAACGCUGGGAAACCGGCGCUAAUACCGCAUAAUCCCGAGAGGGCAAAGGAAGCAAUUCCGUUUCAGGAGGAGUCUGCGGCCGAUUAGCUUGUUGGCAGGGUAAAAGCCUACCAAGGCANCGAUCGGUAGCCGGCCUGAGAGGGCACACGGCCACACUGGCACUGAAACACGGGCCAGACUCCUACGGGAGGCAGCAGUGGGGAAUCUUGCACAAUGGGGGCAACCCUGAUGCAGCGACGCCGCGUGAGCGAUGAAGCUCCUCGGAGUGUUAAGCUCUUUCGGCAGGGAAGAUUAUGACGGUACCUGCAGAAGCAGCUGCGGCUAACUACGUGCCAGCAG